rnacentral:sRNA from 1 species
ACCCCCACCCUGCCCUCUAGCCCCUUGCCUUUCUCAGCCUAGUCUCUUGUACUAGUGUACUCUCCCAUCGGGAGACUCCCACCCACAGCCAGCUUCUCCCUCCUCCACCCUCCCUCCUCAGAGAAUGCCAAGUCUGCAGCUUUCGAGCGACCUUGAACAGGCAGCAGCUUGGAGCUUGGCUGGGAGAGCCCGGGGAGGGGCCUCGGAGCUGAGCCCUGCAGUGCUGGUUCUGGGUAUAGAACUCAUGUUGUCAGACUAUGGGACAAGCUCCUCUAUCCAAUGUGAGCCAUCUGACCUGUCCUGGAAGUUUAAAACAUUUUAUACAAAGCAACGAUUCUUGCCGGAGGUUCCCAGAGAUGUGAUGUCCCGCCUUCAGGAUGAGGAAUCCAAGUCAGCAGAGGCAGACAGACAAUUGGACAUACAAGCGGACAACUGGUCUCAACACUCCAGAACCUGGCUGGGACGGAGGCUGGGGAGGGGGUCGGAGUGGCCUGGUUUCUCAGUGGCCAGGGAGAGUCAGUCUGGGCCCCUUAGCCCUCCUGAACAGAGCCUCCAGCUUCAGACACACCUUGCACCCACCUCUGUUCUCAACACCAAGCUAGGAGAAGAGGAAGCACUAGCCUAGAGGGAGGGAUCUGAGUUCUAAUCUUGACCCAGAGUCGCCAUGUUCACCAUGAUGUGAACUGAAGCAAGUCUGCCUGUCCCCAGGGCUUCUGCACGUUUAUGUAGAGGAGGGUGGGCCAGCACCUCCUGAGGCUCUUUGGGGUACACUGCUCAUCUGCCAGCCAUGGUGCUUGGGGUCGGGUGGGGGUAGGUGGAAUUAAAACAACAAGUAGGUCUUUCUUUUUUAA